CCGCUGCUCCGCGGGGAGAACGGGAGCGGUCACCUGCUCCGAGCCGAGCCAAGUGUUUGCAUAAUUGAAGCGCGGGUUUACGUGCGCUUUUUACGUACCAGAAAUGAUCUCGAGUCGCUGUGUGUUGUGGAGGCACGGUGUGUUCAAGAUGCAUCAGUGAUCCCAAAGGAUAGGCAGCUAUCUUUCAGAGCAUGUCCUCAUCCACUUUUAUAAGCUGGUGAGCUGAUUUUGUGUUCUUUGACUUGGGUGGUCCUUCACUACCCUUUAGCUCCUGUGUGGGCAACCUUGUCUAGUGGGCACCGUGCCCACAGCAGGGAGUUGGAAGUGGUUUUUAAGGUCUCUUCCAACUCAAGCCAUUCUCUGAAUCUGUGAUUCAUACUGAUGAAAGUUAAGUGAAAUGUUACCAAUAGAAAGAACGUCUCCUUAAAGGAAUCUUUCCUGGCACAAGAAGUAAUUAACAUUUUUUUGUUUUCUUAAUAAAACUUUAAAAAAAAAACACCCACAUCAAAUUCACUUAAAAACUCCUGAACCUUCUAAAAUGUGCAAAUGUGUAUCACAAGCAACCUUAAUCGUGGCAUUCUUUGAAAUAUCUGACUAUAGUUUUAGUAAUAUUCUUUUCACUAUAUAUGAUUUGCUAUGUAAGAAAAAAAGGAAAGAACGUUUUUGUCAUGAAUCUGACAGCAUUGGAAUGAUGUAAACAUAAUUUUUCACUUUUGGACUCUGCAGACAUCUACUGAGCAAUUGAGAACUGAAAUAUCACUUGCAGGGGAUGAGACAUUUUGGAUGCUGGGUUUCACAGACAGAAUAGUUUAAGCGCACUUGUCAAUAUUGCUGUUAUUUGUCAUGGCAACAUACAGUAAGGUUCAAUUGGCUCUUGAUGUAAAAGCAUAGCUGCAAAUUCAUCACUUGUGUCACGUGCUGUCUGCUGCAGCAUGUGAGCAGUGUUCAGAUCAUCUGCAGCAACACUGCAAGUGUCACUCUUUUAUUCUAAGCAUUCAGGUCAUAUUGAUGCCUUCCCAGAGUGGAAACAGUGCUGUGAUACAGCAAGUUCAGUUUCACAAGCACUUUGGAGACCAAAGGAAUGGUCUCCAAAUUUAUAUGGUCUGUUAUACAGUAUGCAGUUCAGCUUUUUAGGUCUCUCUAGCAUUUUUUGCCUUCUAGAUUCCCUUAGCCUAUUUGAGUGUAUUUUGUAAUGGAUCUCUUCCUUCUUCUACUUAUGAUACUUAUGAAUUUUAUUUCUGUACAGUCUGUCUUUUAUAAGCUUUAGUAUUCAUCAGUCACACAGGAACACCCCAGUGCUUCAGGCAUUAUUCCUGGAGGUGGUAUCAUUUGUUAUUUUUUUCCCAAUAAGAUAGUA